rnacentral:rRNA from 1 species
GACGAACGCUGGCGGCGUGCUUAACACAUGCAAGCCGAACGGAAAGGCCCCUUCGGGGGUACUCGAGUGGCGAACGGGUGAGUAACACGUGAGUAACCUGCCCUUGACUUCGGGAUAACUUCAGGAAACUGGGGCUAAUACCGGAUAGGAAUCCUUGCUGCAUGGUGGGGGUUGGAAAGCUUCGGCGGUUUUGGAUGGACUCGCGGCUUAUCAGCUUGUUGGUGGGGUAGUGGCUUACCAAGGCUUUGACGGGUAGCCGGCCUGAGAGGGCGACCGGCCACAUUGGGACUGAGAUACGGCCCAGACACCUACGGGAGGCAGCAGUGGAGAAUAUUGCACAAUGGGCGGAAGCCUGAUGCAGCAACGCCGCGUGCGGGAGGACGGCCUUCGGGUUGUAAACCGCUUUCAGCAGGGGCGAAGCUUGUGGUGACGGUACCUGCAGAAGAAGCACCGGCUAACUACGUG